UUGACCUCAAAUCAGGUAGGACUACCCGCUGAACUUAAGCAUAUCAAUAAGCGGAGGAAAAGAAACUAACAAGGAUUCCCCUAGUAACUGCGAGUGAAGCGGGAAAAGCUCAAAUUUAAAAUCUGGUGGUCUUUGGCCAUCCGAGUUGUAAUCUAGAGAAGUGUUACCCGCGUCGGACCGUGUACAAGUCUCCUGGAAUGGAGCGUCAUAGAGGGUGAGAAUCCCGUCUUUGACACGGACUACCGAGGCUUUGUGGUGCGCUCUCAAAGAGUCGAGUUGUUUGGGAAUGCAGCUCAAAAUGGGUGGUAAAUUCCAUCUAAAGCUAAAUAUUGGCGAGAGACCGAUAGCGAACAAGUACCGUGAGGGAAAGAUGAAAAGAACUUUGGAAAGAGAGUUAAACAGUACGUGAAAUUGCUGAAAGGGAAACGCUUGAAGUCAGUCGCGUUGGCCGGAAAUCAGCCUUGCUUUAGUGAGGUGUACUUUCUGGUUGACGGGCCAGCAUCAGUUUUGACCGGUGGAAAAAGUCGAGAGGAAGGUGGCAUCUUCGGGUGUGUUAUAGCCUCUCGUCGUAUACAUCGGUUGGGACUGAGGAACGCAGUACU
rnacentral:rRNA from 2 species